AGUGAACGCUGGCGGUAGGCCUAACACAUGCAAGUCGAACGGCAGCACAGUAAGAGCUUGCUAUUACGGGUGGCGAGUGGCGGACGGGUGAGGAAUACAUCGGAAUCUACUUUUUCGUGGGGGAUAACGUAGGGAAACUUACGCUAAUACCGCAUACGACCUACGGGUGAAAGCAGGGGAUCUUCGGACCUUGCGCGAUUGAAUGAGCCGAUGUCGGAUUAGCUAGUUGGCGGGGUAAAGGCCCACCAAGGCGACGAUCCGUAGCUGGUCUGAGAGGAUGGAACGGCAACACUUGAACUGGGAAACGUCCCAACCACGAAGGGUAGGAGCCAGUGGGAAAAAUGGGACAAGGGGCGAAAUCCGAUUCACCCAAACCGGCGUGGGUAAGAAGGCCUUCGGGGUUGAAAUGCCCUUUUCUGGGAAAGAAAAAUCAGCAGGUAAAUCCCCCCCUGUCUUGACGUACCCAAAGAAUAAGCACCGGCUAACUUCGUG
rnacentral:rRNA from 1 species